rnacentral:rRNA from 1 species
UCCCCUUCGGGGGAUAAGUAGAGUGGCGCACGGGUGAGUAACACGUAGGUAAUCUACCUUCGGGUGGGGAAUAACCCAGGGAAACUUGGGCUAAUACCGCAUAAUGCAGCGGCACCACAUGGUGACAGUUGUUAAAGCGGGGGAUCUUCGGAUCUCGCGCCUGAAGAGGAGCCUGCGGCAGAUUAGCUAGUUGGUAAGGUAACGGCUUACCAAGGCGACGAUCUGUAGCCGGCCUGAGAGGGCGGUCGGCCACACUGACACUGACAUACGGGUUAGACUCCUACGGGAGGCAGCAGUCGGGAAUUUUGGGCAAUGGGCGAAAGCCUGACCCAGCAACGCCGCGUGAAGGAUGAAAUCCCUCGGGAUGUAAACUUCGCAAGAAUGGGAAGAAUUAGUAGGGGUCAAUACCCCCUAUGAUGACGGUACCAUUUGUAAGCUCCGGCUAACUCCGUGCCAGCAGCCGCGGUAAUACGGGGGGAGCAAGCGUUGUUCGGAUUUACUGGGCGUAAAGGGCGCGUAGGCGGUCAGCACAAGUCAGUUGUGAAAUCUCCGGGCUUAACUCGGAAAGGUCAACUGAUACUGUGCGACUAGAGUGCGGAAGGGGCAACUGGAAUUCUCGGUGUAGCGGUGAAAUGCGUAGAUAUCGAGAGGAACACCUGCGGCGAAGGCGGGUUGCUGGGCCGACACUGACGCUGAUGCGCGAAAGCCAGGGGAGCGAACGGGAUUAGAUACCCCGGUAGUCCUGGCCUUAAACGAUGGAUGCUUGGUGUCUGGAGUUUUAUAGUCUCCGGGUGCCGUAGCUAACGCGUUAAGCAU